UUGUUCUUUAGUUGCCAGCAUUGAGUUGGGCACUCUAAAGAGACUGCCGGUGUCAAACCGGAGGAAGGGUGGGGAUGACGUCAAGUCCUCAUGGCCUUUAUGAUCAGGGCUACACACGUACUACAAUGGCCGGUACAACGGGCAGCGACAUAGCGAUAUGAAGCCAAUCCCUGAAAGCCGGUCUCAGUCCGGAUUGGAGUCUGCAACUCGACUCCAUGAAGUUGGAAUCGCUAGUAAUCGCGGAUCAGCAUGCCGCGGUGAAUACGUUCCCGGGCCUU
rnacentral:rRNA from 1 species